rnacentral:rRNA from 1 species
AUCAUGGCUCAGGACGAACGCUGGCGGCGUGCUUAACACAUGCAAGUCGAGCGGUAAGGCUCUUCGGGAGUACACGAGCGGCGAACGGGUGAGUAACACGUGAGCAAUCUGCCCUUCUCUUCGGAAUAACCAUUGGAAACGAUGGCUAAUGCCGAAUACGACCUCCCUUCGCAUGUUGGGAGGUGGAAAGCUCCGGCGGAGAAGGAUGAGCUCGCGGCCUAUCAGCUUGUUGGCGGGGUAAUGGCCCACCAAGGCGACGACGGGUAGCCGGCCUGAGAGGGUGACCGGCCACACUGGGACUGAGACACGGCCCAGACUCUACGGGAGGCAGCAGUGGGGAAUAUUGGACAAUGGGCGAAAGCCUGAUCCAGCAACGCCGCGUGAGGGAUGACGGCUUCGGGUUGUAAACCUCUUUCAGCAGGGACGAAGCGAAAGUGACGGUACCUGCAGAAGAAGGACCGGCCAAUACGUGCCAGCAGCCGCGGUAAUACGUAGGGUCCGAGCGUUGUCCGGAAUUAUUGGGCGUAAAGGGCUCGUAGGCGGUUUGUCGCGUCGGGAGUGAAAACUCAGGGCUUUCGUCUGAGCGUGCUUCCGAUACGGGCAGACUAGAGGGAUGCAGGGGAGAACGGAAUUCCUGGUGUAGCGGUGGAAUGCGCAGAUAUCAGGAGGAACACCGGUGGCGAAGGCGGUUCUCUGGCAUUACCU